GUUGUCAGUUCGCAUCCAAUCCAACUAGAAAGCAGUUAACGAGCAGUCUGUGUUUUUUCGCUUGCGGUUAAAAGCCACGAGCUUAAGCAAAAAAAAAAAACCGCCGCCCAACAACAACAGCAUAUUUUGUAAUCCCUCCCAGUCUAUGAGUGUGUGUGUGUGAGCAGCAAUCUAAAAAAUAUAUUUAAAUAAUCACACUACAAAAUCAAGAAACCCACACAAGUUUUGCUCAAAACAACAACAUACCCACAAACAAAACAAGUGCAAAAUAACAAGGAAAAUAAGUAAAACAGUGUUAGUUAACAGCAAUAACAACAAGAAUUGGCGAUCAACAAAUUCCACCGGCAAAAUCAACAAAUUCUUAAAUCGCAGUCAACAAGGAGCAACGAUUUCCCAUUGCUAACUUUUGGCGGGAAACAACUGAUCGCGAAGCUCACCAAUAGGCUUCGAUUUUUUUUGGGCUGGCGAGGAGAACUUGGAAGAGCC